AGAUUAAGUUAUUAAGGGCGCACGGUGGAUGCCUUGGCACUAGAAGCCGACGAAGGACGUUACUAACGACGAUAUGCUUUGGGGAGCUGUAAGUAAGCUUUGAUCCAGAGAUUUCCUAAUGGGGAAACCCAGCACGAGUUAUGUCGUGUUAUCGAUAUGUGAAUACAUAGCAUAUCUGAAGGCAGACGCGGAGAACUGAAACAUCUUAGUACCCGCAGGAAGAGAAAGAAAAAUCGAUUCCCUGAGUAGCGGCGAGCGAAACGGGAAGAGCCCAAACCAACGAGCUUGCUUGUUGGGGUUGUAGGACACUCUAUACGGAGUUACAAAAGAACAGACUAGACGAAUCAUCUGGAAAGAUGAAUCAAAGAAGGUAAUAAUCCUGUAGUCGAAAGUUUGUUCACUCUUGAGUGGAUCCUGAGUACGACGGAACACGAGAAAUUCCGUCGGAAUCUGGGAGGACCAUCUCCCAAGGCUAAAUACUCUCUAGUGACCGAUAGUGAACCAGUACCGUGAGGGAAAGGUGAAAAGUACCCCGGAAGGGGAGUGAAAUAGAACUUGAAACCGUGUGCUUACAAGUAGUCAGAGCCCGUUAAUGGGUGAUGGCGUGCCUUUUGUAGAAUGAACCGGCGAGUUACGAUUUGAUGCAAGGUUAAGCAGUGAAUGUGGAGCCGUAGCGAAAGCGAGUCUGAAUAGGGCGUUGAGUAUUUGGUCGUAGACCCGAAACCAGGUGAUCUACCCAUGACCAGGUUGAAGUUCAGGUAACACUGAAUGGAGGACCGAACCGACUUACGUUGAAAAGUGAGCGGAUGAGUUGUGGGUAGCGGAGAAAUUCCAAUCGAACCUGGAGAUAGCUGGUUCUCUCCGAAAUAGCUUUAGGGCUAGCCUCAAGUGAUGAUUAUUGGAGGUAGAGCACUGUUUGGACGAGGGGCCCUUAUCGGGUUACCGAAUUCAGACAAACUCCGAAUGCCAAUCAAUUUAACUUGGGAGUCAGAACGCGGGUGAUAAGGUCCGUGUUCGAAAGGGAAACAGCCCAGACCACCAGCUAAGGUCCCAAAAUAUAUGUUAAGUGGAAAAGGAUGUGGCGUUGCCCAGACAACUAGGAUGUUGGCUUAGAAGCAGCCAUCAUUUAAAGAGUGCGUAAUAGCUCACUAGUCGAGUGACACUGCGCCGAAAAUGUACCGGGGCUAAACAUAUUACCGAAGCUGUGGAUUGUCCGUAAGGACAAUGGUAGGAGAGCGUUCUAAGGGCGUUGAAGCAUGAUCGCAAGGACAUGUGGAGCGCUUAGAAGUGAGAAUGCCGGUGUGAGUAGCGAAAGACGGGUGAGAAUCCCGUCCACCGAUUGACUAAGGUUUCCAGAGGAAGGCUCGUCCGCUCUGGGUUAGUCGGGUCCUAAGCUGAGGCCGAUAGGCGUAGGCGAUGGAUAACAGGUUGAUAUUCCUGUACCACCAUUAUUCGUUUUAAGCGAUGGGGGGACGCAGUAGGAUAGGCGAAGCGUACGAUUGGAUUGUACGUCCAAGCAGUGAGAUUGAGUGUUAGGCAAAUCCGGCACUCUUAAGAUUGAGCUGUGAUGGGGAGAGGAAAUUGUUUCCUCGAGUCGUUGAUUUCACACUGCCAAGAAAAGCCUCUAGCUAGAAUUGUGGUGCCCGUACCGCAAACCGACACAGGUAGUCAAGAUGAGAAUUCUAAGGUGAGCGAGCGAACUCUCGUUAAGGAACUCGGCAAAAUGACCCCGUAACUUCGGGAGAAGGGGUGCUCUUUAGGGUUAACGCCCAGGAGAGCCGCAGUGAAUAGGCCCAAGCGACUGUUUAUCAAAAACACAGGUCUCUGCUAAACCGUAAGGUGAUGUAUAGGGGCUGACGCCUGCCCGGUGCUGGAAGGUUAAGAGGAGUGGUUAGCUUCUGCGAAGCUACGAAUCGAAGCCCCAGUAAACGGCGGCCGUAACUAUAACGGUCCUAAGGUAGCGAAAUUCCUUGUCGGGUAAGUUCCGACCCGCACGAAAGGCGUAACGAUUUGGGCACUGUCUCAACGAGAGACUCGGUGAAAUCAUAGUACCUGUGAAGAUGCAGGUUACCCGCGACAGGACGGAAAGACCCCGUGGAGCUUUACUGUAGUCUGAUAUUGAAAUUCGGCACAGCUUGUACAGGAUAGGUAGGAGCCUGAGAUACGUGAGCGCUAGCUUACGUGGAGGCGUUGGUGGGAUACUACCCUCGCUGUGUUGGAUUUCUAACCCGCACCAUUUAUCAUGGUGGGAGACAGUGUCAGAUGGGCAGUUUGACUGGGGCGGUCGCCUCCUAAAGAGUAACGGAGGCGCUCAAAGGUUUCCUCAGAAUGGUUGGAAAUCAUUCAUAGAGUGUAAAGGCAUAAGGAAGCUUGACUGCGAGACUUACAAGUCGAGCAGGGUCGAAAGACGGACUUAGUGAUCCGGUGGUUCCGCAUGGAAGGGCCAUCGCUCAACGGAUAAAAGCUACCCCGGGGAUAACAGGCUUAUCUCCCCCAAGAGUUCACAUCGACGGGGAGGUUUGGCACCUCGAUGUCGGCUCAUCGCAUCCUGGGGCUGUAGUCGGUCCCAAGGGUUGGGCUGUUCGCCCAUUAAAGCGGUACGCGAGCUGGGUUCAGAACGUCGUGAGACAGUUCGGUCCCUAUCCGUCGUGGGCGUAGGAAAUUUGAGAGGAGCUGUCCUUAGUACGAGAGGACCGGGAUAGACAUACCUCUGGUGUACCAGUUGUCGUGCCAACGGCAUCGCUGGGUAGCUAUGUAUGGACGGGAUAAGUGCUGAAAGCAUCUAAGCAUGAAGCCCCCCUCAAGAUGAGAUUUCCCAACUUCGGUUAUAAGAUCCCUCAAAGAUGAUGAGGUUAAUAGGUUCGAGGUGGAAGCAUAGCGAUAUGUGCAGCUGACGAAUACUAAUCGAUCGAAGACUUAAUCAAAUUUUA
rnacentral:rRNA from 1 species